CACGUAGGAGACGAGCGUUAUCCGGAUUUACUGGGUGUAAAGCGCGUGUAGGCGGUCGAGUAAGUUGGAUGUGAAAGCUCCCGGCUCAACUGGGAGAGGUCGUUCAAUACUGCUUGGCUAGAGGACAGCAGAGGGGAGUGGAAUUCCGAGUGUAGCGGUAAAAUGCAUAGAUAUUCGGAAGAACACCAGUGGCGAAGGCGGCUCUCUGGGCUGGUCCUGACGCUCAGACGCGAAAGCUAGGGUAGCAAACGGG
rnacentral:rRNA from 2 species